AUGCUUCGGUAUUUGACAAGCGCUAGUUUACUGACAUGUCAAAUAGCGGACCGUACUGGCGUUUUUGUACCGAAUAGCCGCAACGCCAUCUUUGGACGGUAACACGCGUAGAUCAACUUGUUUUGCAGCGUGACUAGCUGACUACUCCUGGAUACUUCAUGUUUUAGCUUAUUAGGCAUUGGAUGACGUAACAGCCAAAAACUUUGGCCAGUGAAAUAUUUUGUGAAUGUCACGUUUGGGUUCGCAUUGUUUUUGCGUGCGAAUUUUGACAAAACUUUAGUUGUGAUACGGCCAAAUGCGUUGUUUGUUGGCACAUUUAUGUGGGCAGCCCAUGGUCACCACCAUGAUAAGAAUUGUUCGCGGAAAAACUCCAUCGCUCAUAAUUUUGCAGAAGAAUCUCUAUCGAUCGAUCAACUCGAGCAGCCAGUUGGUAAAAAUCUGAAUUACUUGUCCUUUAUAAGUAAUGUAUACUGUAUGGCGGUCGCAAAACUAAAAUACGGUAAACAAAACCCAAAAAUUAAACAAAACCGGUAAAUGUUAAACGAUUACUUGCAGUUUAGCUAAUUCGUUUGUAUUGCUCUUGUUACGUAAGAGAUUGGAUUGGACAGAUACGCUAUCCAAGUUUAAUGACCAAUAACUGACAAAAUAUUUAAGAGGUGUCAGAAUGAAUAGAAUAUGAGGAAUGUAAACAAAACAAGGAACUUCUGUUGUUCACAAAAUCACAACUCUGUUUUUAAGAAUUGCAGGUUGCACCAUUAACGUUUCGCUAAACUAGAAACCAGAUGAUGAGUCACUGCAGAGUAGGAAGGGUCGUCCUCCUGAUAUACCUGGUAACAACAAUUUAUGAAGAUAAAAAAGAAAAACUAUGGUGGUAGGCAACAGGCACCGCUAACAAAAGAUGUUUCACUUACUUUUAGAAAAUUGUGUUCAAGCAAAUUGGCUGCGGUUUCUCUCUGCUUUGGAUCGUGCUGGAGAACAUGGGAAAGAAACGCUUGGCCUUCCUCACUAAGCGUAGGUGGCGCGGGAAGGGACUUCCCCCAUACCAACUUUGAACAUAAUAGCAUAAUUGGAUUCUAGCUCGUACCACGGUCUCUGCAAAUGUGUAAAAUAUACGAUGAUGGGUUUUCCGAA